AGUUUGAUUAUGGCUCAGGAUGAACGCUAGCGGCAGGCCUAAUACAUGCAAGUCGGACGGGAACUCCCCGUUCGGGGGAGUGAGAGUGGCGCACGGGUGCGUAACGCGUAUGCAACCAACCCCUUUCCGGGGGACAGCCGGUGGAAACGCCGGGUAAUACCCCAUGCCGACGCGGGAGGGCAUCCUCCUGUGUCGAAAGACGCGAGUCGGAGAGGGACGGGCAUGCGUCCCAUUAGCUAGUCGGCGGGGUGACGGCCCACCGAGGCGACGAUGGGUAGGGGAUCUGAGAGGACGGUCCCCCCACACUGGUACUGAGACACGGACCAGACUCCUACGGGAGGCAGCAGUAAGGAAUAUUGGGCAAUGGGGGGAACCCUGACCCAGCCAUGCCGCGUGAGGGAAGUAGGCCCUACGGGUCGUGAACCUCUUUUGCCGGGGGACAAGGACGCGCACGGGAUGCGCGUUUGCGGGUACCCGGCGAAUAAGCAUCGGCUAACUCCGUGCCAGCCGCCGC
rnacentral:rRNA from 1 species